UACGGAGGGGGCUAGCGUUAUCCGGAAUUAUUGGGCGUAAAGGGCGCGUAGGCGGCCAUUCAAGUCGGGGGUGAAAGCCCAGGGCUCAACCCUGGAAUUGCCUUCGAUACUGUUUGGCUAGAGUCCGGAAGAGGUUAGUGGAACUGCGAGUGUAGAGGUGAAAUUCGUAGAUAUUCGCAAGAACACCAGUGGCGAAGGCGGCUAACUGGUCCGGAUCUGACGCUGAGGCGCGAAAGCGUGGGGAGCAAACAGG
rnacentral:rRNA from 1 species